rnacentral:rRNA from 1 species
CGGGUGAGUAACACGUUGAUAACCUACCUAUAAGACUGGGAUAACUUCGGGAAACCGGAGCUAAUACCGGAUAAUAUUUUGAACCGCAUGGUUCAAAAGUGAAAGACGGUCUUGCUGUCACUUAUAGAUGGAUCCGCGCUGCAUUAGCUAGUUGGUAAGGUAACGGCUUACCAAGGCAACGAUGCAUAGCCGACCUGAGAGGGUGAUCGGCCACACUGGAACUGAGAUACGGCCCAG